rnacentral:tRNA from 1 species
GGAAGCAGAACUCGAUUGGUAGAGUGUCUCUCUUUUAAAGAGAACGUUUCCGGUUCAAAUCCGGAUGCUUUCA